ACAAUAACAUACGGACCGUCGGUCUACCGAGCAAUAUCACCCGCUCGUUGGAAGAUCUUCCCUUUGACGUAUACU
rnacentral:pre_miRNA from 1 species